rnacentral:tRNA from 1 species
UCCUUAAUAGUUUACUUAAAACAUUAUAUUUUCAUUAUAAAAAUAAUCAUAAGAUUUUUUGGUU